UUAUGACCAUAUCACGUUGAAAUAUCAGUUCCCAUAAGAUCACCGAAGUUAAGCAACGUCGUGUCUGAUCGGUAACUAGAUGAGCGACCACUUGGGAAUACUAGGUCCUGUAAG